CGCAUCUGUGCAUGCAGCAUAUCAAUAAGCGGAGGAAAAGAAACUAACAAGGAUUCCCCUAGUAACGGCGAGUGAAGCGGGAAGAGCUCAAAUUUGAAAUCUUAAAGGGUUUCCCUUUACGAAUUGUAGUUUAAAGAAGUGUUUUCUGUUGAGGUUUUGGUAAAAGUUCUUUGGAAUAGGACAUCAUAGAGGGUGAGAAUCCCGUAUUUGACCUUUACUUUCAACUUUGUGAUACACUUUCAAAGAGUCGGAUUGUUUGGGAAUGUAGUCCAAAAUGGGUGGUAAAUUUCAUCUAAAGCUAAAUAUUGGCGAGAGACCGAUAGCGAACAAGUACCGUGAGGGAAAGAUGAAAAGAACUUUGAAAAGAGAGUUAAACAGUACGUGAAAUUGUCAAAAGGGAAGCGUUUGACACCAGUGUUGUUUUUCUGAAAAUCAAUUAAAGAACUGUUUAUGCUAAGCUUGUUUAGACUUUAUCAGCUAACUGUUUAGUUUUGAGCUUUUCUUUAAUGCACUUUUCAGUUAACAAGUCAACAUCAAUUUCUUUUGCUGUAAAAAAGCUUGAGGAAGGUGGCUUGAGAUUCGUCUUAAGUGUUUAUAGCCUCUUGCCUAUGCAGUCGGAGAGAUUGAGGUCUGCAGCGUAGAUCCUUCGGGGCUAAAUGCAUUUGUGCUAAGUUAUAGCAUUUAUAGACAACUUGUUGACUAUGAUUUGUCUUGUAGCUUACUCGCUUAUGUUAUUUUACCUACGCUUAGGAUGUUGAACGCGCACAGAGUCUC
rnacentral:rRNA from 1 species